UGGGGAAUAUUGCACAAUGGGCGCAAGCCUGAUGCAGCGACGCCGCGUGAGGGAUGACGGCCUUCGGGUUGUAAACCUCUUUCAGCAGGGAAGAAGCGCAAGUGACGGUACCUGCAGAAGAAGCGCCGGCUAACUACGUGCCAGCAGCCGCGGUAAUACGUAGGGCGCAAGCGUUGUCCGGAAUUAUUGGGCGUAAAGAGCUCGUAGGCGGUUUGUCGCGUCUGCUGUGAAAACGCGAGGCUCAACCUCGCGCCUGCAGUGGGUACGGGCAGACUAGAGUGCGGUAGGGGAGACUGGAAUUCCUGGUGUAGCGGUGGAAUGCGCAGAUAUCAGGAGGAACACCGGUGGCGAAGGCGGGUCUCUGGGCCGUAACUGACGCUGAGGGGCGAAAGCAUGGGGAGCGAACA
rnacentral:rRNA from 1 species